AGGAGGGCGGUCCCCGCCGUCUCUCUGGCCGGGUCCUCAGCCCGAGUUCUCCCCACACCGGGGACUAGCAGGGCGGCGGGCGGCGCAGCCGGAAAGGCGCGAGCGCGCUGAGACGUUUGGGGGAAGGCGGGGCUUCGCCGGACCGGAGGGUCUCGGUGGCUGGAAGUGAGUGAGGUUGGGCCGACCGCGCCGGCGUUCGGAGCCCCGGCGGGAGGCGAGAGGGCUGGCGUCCUCGCGGACAUCCAUCUGCAGCGAACCCGGCAGAGGCUUUGGGAUAGAUCCCUGACUCCUUGGGUCAGUAGCUACAGUUUAACUAUAAAAAUGGGAUGGUCGUUCUCACAAGGUUGCUGAGGGGUUACGUGACUCGGCAUGUGGAAAGCACCUAGCAUAAUAAGGGUCGGUAGUUUCUGCCAUCAGGGCUGGAAGAGACCUCGGAGCCUGGAUUCCUUCUAGGGCGUUUGGAUCUCACAUAUCCCUUUGAGAUAGGAGCCAGUACAGGGCCUCACGGCCGCAGACCUAGGCACCGACAUCGUGCAGUGACCUAGGUGCCGCCAUCACAGAAUGAGACCCUGAAACAACUUAGGCGUAACUGCAAUUCUCAGAACUGUAAUUUUCCAUUGCUUCUAUUUCCCCAUAAACCCCUGACCUUGGCAUCUGUACAGACUGCUUGUUUGCAUAACUCCCGCACUCCUGGAAACAGGAUGUGGGUUUUCAGCUUAAAAACCCUGCUCCCCUUGAAUACGGGGCCACGGGUUGGAGAGACACGAGUCCUCCGUGGUCGCCCGCAAUAAAGACCCUGUAAUUGAUUUGGACCUCUUUUGUCUUGGGGUGAUUUCUUGCUUGCUCAGUUACAUUUGGCAGCCCCAAUGAGAUUUUCCAGCAUCACUCAGACAAAAUCCCUGGAGUCUCGCCCACGUGACCGUCCCCACCCCAGGGAUGUCUAGGGGAGGCGCUCCCUGAGACGUUCCAGGGCCCCAGAGUUCUGGCCCGUGGCAGAAGGGCGACUACUCCGCCGACAUUCACCCAAAAUUCCUCAGGGUCCCAGGAACCUCUGGAGUCCUUACAGGCACGCCAGUCUGUUCAGUCCCAGGUGCACUGGCUCAUCAAGGACACCCGUCCUACCUCAGUGGACCUCGCAGACUAGCCGACACGCUCCUUCCAGCCUGGAAACUCUUUCCUUGUUAAAAGAUUCGCCACCUCCUGCCUGGCCCCCCACCGGAAGGGACUGUACACCGUUAUCCUGACCACUCCCACCACACUCAAAGUGGACGGAUUGGCGGCCUGGAUUCAUCACACCCACGUCAAGACUGCCCCAGCAGAAGAACGAUGGAGCAUCGACCACUUAUCCUCAGAUCCACUAAAGCUAAGACUUGUGUGCUCUUUGCGGUUACCACCCUCGCCACCUUAAUCCGUGCUGUAAAACCCUAUGGCAAACCCCUCUUAGAACCCACCUACUAUCAAUGGGUCCUCACCGAGGGCUCCACUGGAGAAUAUGUUAGUUCCUUGACUGGGAAGGGAUCCACCCUAGUCAACAUAACCCUAAAGGACAUUCCAAAGACCCCCAUUACCUUCUCCCUAGACCUCUGUGCCCUCCUGGGCCCAAACCUGAAUUUCAGAACAAGUGGAACUGUAGCCGGGUGCGGCAGUUCAGGGGCAGAGAAACAACUCCAGACCAUGGGAUUAUAUCUGUGCCCAGCAUCCACCUCACAAAAAAGAUGGAACUGUGGAAACUUAAAUGAGUUUUUUUGCCCCCAUUGGGGCUGUGAAACUAUCUCCACUAUAUCAGGGUACACCAAAAACACAGACUCCUUCAUUUCUUUUAACCGAGACUCUCCCCCAUCCCCGUGCUACACCGGGUCUUGUAACCCACUCAAGAUAACCAUAACUACCCCCGAUGGUAAAUGGACAACGGGGCGAACCUGGGGUCUCAGGGUAUAUAUGUCUGGGUGGGACAUGGGAAACAUUUUUACCAUCCAGCGAGUAACCCUGCCCCAACCCAACCACCCUACAGGACAAAAUGCGGGGGUCAUACAACACUCCCAAAGCCCCCCCCCCAAACAACACAGAUCCUCCUCCUUCACAACCCCAGUUCUAACCUCCCCUACAACCCGACUACCCUCGCCUCCUCCCUCAUCACCCUAGCCCUGACCGUGGAGGAUGUGAACCUGUUAAACUUGUCCUCAACCCACCACCUCCUCAAUCAGUCUGACCCAGAGUUGGGAGCAGACUGCUGGCUUUGCCUGAACCCGCAACGGCCGUUCACUGGCCUAGCAGCCUGACUACCAGCAAUCCCGUCCAGUUCCCCGUUCACCCUGACCACGCUCCAUCUGACUCUGGGGGAUCUGGAGGGAUCCGGAGAGUGUUACUACUCCCCUGAUUACAGUUCAGAGAACCCCUAUGAGCUGUGUUGUAACACCUCCCAUACUAUAAGCUAUAAUAGAACCAACCCCUACUAUCAGGCCCCCAACACCACCUGAUUAGCCUGUAUGUUUGGCCUUACCAACUGUAUUUCCACUUUCCAAGUUAAUCACACCAUACUCUGUACUCCAGUGCACAUCCUCCCCAGGGUAAUCAUCUAAGAUGGUCAGCAGGGGCUCCAUCUCCUGGCCCCCUCAGACACAACCACCCGAUGGAAGCGAUUACCCCUUGUCAUGCCCCUGCUGGUGGGAUUGGGCAUUGCUGGCUCCACUGCAGUGGGAAUAUCGGCCCUCACAACCGGGGACCAAAACUUUAAAACCCUUUCUCAAUACAUAGACACUGGUAUAAGCCAUUUAAAAAACUCCGUAUCUCAACUCACUGAUCACGUUGAGUCUCUAGCUGAGAUGAUUCUUCAAAACAGGCGGGGAUUAGAUGUACUGUUCCUAAAACAGGGAGGUCUGUGUGCUGCCCUUAAUGAACAAUGUAGCUUCUAUGCUAAUAGGUCGGCCUCAUUCAAGAAAGCCUUUCCUUGGUCAGGCAGAAUCUCGAAACCUGAAAACGACUUCGGGAAGCAUCAGAAAGUUGGUAUCAGAAAAUGUUUUCCUGGUCACCAUGGCUCACUUCCCUACUCACGGGUAUGGCAGAGCCCCUGGUCCUGCUCCUACUAGGUCUCAUGUUCGGCCCCUGCCUCUUAAAUCAACUAAUCAAGCUAAUACAGGCCAGAAUAAACUCUGUAAAACUAAUGGUUCUAAGGACUCAAUAUGAGCCCCUGCAGCAAACCGCUCAGUCAGUACUGGUGGAAGAAUCAAUGAUUUGACUCAUGUACGAAAAGACAGAGGGGAAUGAGAUAGGAGCCAGUACAGUGCCACACGGCCACAGACCUAGGCACCGACAUCGUGCAGUGACCUAGGUGCCGCCGUCUCAGAAUGAGACCCUGAAACAACUUAGGCGUAACUGCAAUUCUCAGAACUGUAAUUUUCCAUUGCUUCUAUUUCCCCAUAAACCGCUGACCUUGGCAUCUGUACAGACUGCUUGCUUGCAUAACCCCCACACUCCUGGAAACAGGAUGUGGGUUUUCAG